CUGGGUUAGACAGAAUACUGGUUUGACUCAGAAGGAUAUUUUGUAUAUUUUACAUUAUAUGGAUUCUUUCACCACUUUCCUUUCCAAUACUAACACGCGUAAUGUGAGUUUUGGACUUACGACUGCACCUCCUGGGAGAUAUUGGAAGUCCGUAUUGGCCUUGAGUACAGAGGGUCUCAGCUGUAUGACAUUUCUUGUUUUCUCACACUUCAGCCUAUGCACUAUUACAAGAUGGAUUCUUUAUUUUUCACUCCAUGUGUAUGAUAUCCAUGCUACACUCAUUUGGCUCAGAGGUGGCUGGGGAAGGGCAUCUGGGGUUUUCUUAAAACAAACUAUCUCUCAGGUCCACCAACAACCGAUCAGGUGCAGAAAUACGAGACCAUGAAGCCAAAGAUGAAGCCCAGUUGUACACACGCAUGUGAGAAGAUGAAAAUAGCUGCAGAACAGCAUGUGGACGUUUCAGAUGUGACUCGUCUGACUUUCUGUGAAGAAUAAUACAGUGUUUAUAAUGUUUUAAAUAUGGGUAGAAAGAUGAUUGGAAAACAAUGACCUCAGGCUGUCUUAUUACAGAUGGCCACAGGGUCUCUAAAUUUCAUAAGUGAUCAAUACUCAUGGCGAUGAUUAAGAGAAGUCAUUUUCUGAGUUGUAACCUUGUUAAAGAACUUCUCUGUGCUGCACAGAACAACUCUUUGGUCAGUUUUUCCUGGGGAGCCAUUUCUAGUAUAAUUAAAGAGUUUGCCUCUCCUCCCACAGCCAAGACCUUCUCCCUCUUGCCUCAAGCUGUGGGUUUUUCAUUUAACACUCCAAUGCCUCACCAACAAUAAAAAAAAAAAAAAUCAAAUCAAAUCAUCCAGACCACUGAAUGGACGAUGAUUUCUUUUUUUCUUUUUUUUCUUUUUUUUCCUGGGAUUUGACCUUCAAGCUGUUAAACGAAUUCACAAAACAAACUAAAGUUUGCUCCUCUCUUUCAGGUGUAAAGUUUAAAAGCAAAUGGUCUAGACUGUUGCAAAAUCAAAAUGUUUUAUGACCUACCCCUCUCAGAGGCCACAGUCCGCUAAGGCCUACUACGGCCAGCUAAUAUACUGCCUUUUCAACAUGAAUAUGUGAAUAUUCCAACUGUUUGCAAUGGAAUUUAAGCAAACUGCUUCAGUGCUUCAGUGAACAGAAGAGACACGUUUAUAUACCUGAAAUCAGUAUUGAAAUCUUUUCUUAAAGUUCAGGCUGAAUAUAGGAGCUGUUGUUAUUAGUAUUACUCUAGAGAUACUAGGCAGACUGAGAGUUUUCAAUUGUAGUUUUACUAUGUCUGUUUAUUUGCUAAUCUACUUCACUGAUAUUUUUAGGCCUAGCUCUAGAGAAAGUUCAUUUGCUUGAUAGAUCGGAAAAAAUGCUUGUGAUGUGCAAAAUCCUCUUCCACCAUAUCACUAAUGGUAAUGCAACUUAACACAACCCUGUGUUUUUUCAUUAACUUUGGAAGAUAUGUUUUUGAUCUGUGUAACUCUCACCAUGGUCAAGCAACCACAGUAGGAAAACAUCAGUACCUUUUCUGGAAAGAGCAUUAGAAAACCUAUGCCUGGAGCAACUAAUGAAAUGCUUCAUUAGAUAUGGGUAGUUCAGCUAAAGAGUCAGGUGAAUCAGCAAAGAAAAAAGGAAGAAGCUGCUAUCAUUGCUGGUGCUAGGCAGAUCUGGCACAAAUUAUAUCCAUUUGAGGAAAAAAAAUGGUUAGAAGGAUUUUUCUAUUUUUCCUUGCAAGAUAUUUCAAAUUUCAAUGUCAUCAUCUACAAUAUUCGUAUUUCACACAUGACAAGAUUCAUAUAAAAUUGCUGUGUAGUAUCACUUGUCAUAAACUAAAGCCAGACUACAUGUUGAGAAAAAUGUACACAGACAAGGAUUUAGGACUAGGUAGACCUGAAAGCUAAGUGAGAAGUACCAUAUACUUCUAUAUAUAGUACUAUAAGUAACUGUAGUUUAAUUUUUCAACUUAGGCAUUGAAAGCCAUGAGUCUAAUGAGUAGGCAAGAAAAAUUUAUUUCACCCGACAAACCUGGUGUCUAAAGGAUUUAAUAUAAAAACAGGCAAGCAGAAGUCUGGGUAUGCUAUUGUUGAAGACAAUGACUGAAUGUGGCUUUUGUCAGUACCAUGUUAGCUAUCUAUGUUUAGAGGAAUGUAAUCAGAGUACAGCAGGUUGGAGCCCCACUUAUGAAUGAAUAUUUUUUAGUGUUCCUUGAUCACCAUUAUUUUUAUGAGGAUGUAUAUUAUCAACUCUGUCUCACAGAAGAUAUCUUUGGUUGCCAAACAUUUUAAAAAAAUCUAUUUUCCAAACUAGAGAGCUUAGCAGGGCACCAAGAACAGUUUCUCUCCAAUUCUCAGAAAUGCUGGAAUUUACUUGCUGGAUGUUUCUGCAAGUGAUGGGAAUUCAAUACAUCUGAAGUCAAUCCUAUUUAAUAUCAAAAGCUCUGUAUGGUAAGACUAAGGUAAUUGAGUCUAGGAACCAGCUGUAAAAUCCCAAACACUCUCUGAAAUUAUCCAGUGAGCCAUAAAUAAUCCCAGUGCACAAGGAAAGAGCAAGUGAGAAAGAGAAAGAGAAAAAGGGAGUGGAACGUAUUUUUAGCUUAAAUCAGUGCUUGGGAAAAAUAGAAAAAAAAACAUUAAUUAAAGGGCCAUGGGUUAAGUAGACAAAAAUUUACAGACUAGUUAUAACAAUUUUGCCAAGGUCAGCAAUGUCAAAGAAAUUACAUAAUAAAAUAAACAUCACUAAAGACAAACAACAUUUUAAACAUUCUAUCUGUUGACAAUUUGACUUCUUUGCAUUAAGCUCUUUCUCUACUUCUCCUUAUUCCUUCCCUUCAAAAAUAUAUAUAUAUAUAUAUUUUGUAUUUUUAGAAAUCUGGAGAAGAAAUUACAAUUAUUUGUACCUAUAAAGACUUUUCCAGACAAUGAUAUCUACUACAAAAUAAACAGGCAACUUGAGAAAAGAGUAGGAAAAGAAUCGGUUUUGUUCCAGCCAUCUCUCACAGUUGGCAUCUAUACAAAUCUUAGAGAGGGGAAGUUCUAGGAGCUGUGUAAACUGGAAGGGAUUUGUGCAGAAAAGCAUUUUCUUUACUUUGAUAAUCCUAAGAAACAAUUUUUUGCACUCUGUAUGACACAGUUUUCAGGCAGAAUUUCUCUGCCUAUCCUACCUAAAUUUGGGAGUCCGGGAUUAAGACUGCUUUGUACACAGCACAAGAUGACCUCUGAAGUUUUGUUACCCUGCAACAAUGAGGCCUUGCUAGCUACUCCAUAAAACUAGCAUUUUCUAUAAACAUAUUUCCCUGUCUAUCCAUGGGACUACAGCAAGUAUCACAG
ensembl:lncRNA